rnacentral:rRNA from 1 species
UGAAGGCCAGGCUGAAGACUUUGCCGGAUUAGCUGAGAGGUGGUGCAUGGCCGUCGUCAGUUCGUACUGUGAAGCAUCCUGUUAAGUCAGGCAACGAGCGAGACCCACGCCCACAGUUGCCAGCGUACUCUCCGGAGUGACGGGUACACUGUGGGGACCGCCGCUGCUAAAGCGGAGGAAGGAAUGGGCAACGGUAGGUCAGUAUGCCCCGAAUAUCCCGGGCUACACGCGAGCUACAAUGGUUGGUACAAUGGGUAUCUACCCCGAAAGGGGACGGGAAUCUCCUAAAACCAAUCUUAGUUCGGAUUGAGGGCUGCAACUCGCCCUCAUGAAGCUGGAAUCCGUAGUAAUCGCGUCUCAACAGAACGCGGUGAAUACGUCCCUGCUCCUU